rnacentral:rRNA from 1 species
CCUACGGGAGGCUGCAGUGAGGAAUAUUGGUCAAUGGACGAGAGUCUGAACCAGCCAAGUAGCGUGAAGGAUGACUGCCCUAUGGGUUGUAAACUUCUUUUCUAUGGGAAUAAAAUGUUCCACGUGUGGGAUUUUGUAUGUACCAUAUGCAUACGGAUCGGCUACCUCCGUGCCAGCAGCCGCGGUCAUACGGAGGCUCCGAGCGUUAGCCGGAUUUAUUGGGUUUAAAGGGUGCGUAGGCGGUCCGGAAAGUCAGCGGUAAAAGGCCGGGGCUCAACCCCGGCGAGCCGUUGAAACUGUCGGACUAGAGACGGCGAGAAGUACGCGGAAGGCGCGGUGUAGCGGUGAAAUGCAUAGAUAUCGCGCAGAACUCCGAUUGCGAAGGCAGCGUACCGGCGCCGGACUGACGCUGAGGCACGAAAGCGUGGGUAGCGAACAGGAUUAGAUACCCCUGUAGUC